rnacentral:lncRNA from 1 species
UUUCUGAGUGGGGGCAGGACUUUUUCUGGAAAUGGGGUGUUAUGACUUACAGCCAAAGAAGGUAGGUCGGAUAAUUUCUUUAUGGCCACUUUUUACACAGAAAGAUGGAGGGAAAGUUGGAGUAAUGUUUUUAGGUUUUAUGGUUGUCUUUGGGGAAAAGCAGUUCUGGUUUCAAUGGCCUGCCCUAGGGAAGAGGGAGUCUAGUUUCUACAGCUAGCCUCUGGAGAGAAUGGGACUGAGAAGCAGCAGAACAGGAGAAGGUCAGAGAAAAACGUUUACUUGUGAGGUUGCUUCUGAGUCCUUCAUUUUAGGGUCUUGUUUUCUGACCCCAACACAGCAUAGCAUGGAUUCUCAACAAACAUGCAAAUAGAAUAAAACUAUCUCCUUAAAAUCAUCUGCUUAUUUAAUAUUAUGUAACAGAUAGUUAGGAUAAGAUUUUAGAGACUUAAAAUAAUUAUGCAUUUCUUCGGUUGUUAAAGUACUAUUUUUUAGUACUUGUUUUUGAAGUUUCUCAUCUAGAAUAUUUAUUACAUGAGCGUUUAAAUUCUCUGGCUUUUCUACAAAACAAUAACAACAACAAAAAACAUCCUGAUGGGUUAAGGAAGUUAAUAUAGAGUGAAUAUUUUCUUAGAAAUAGAUGCAUAUUCUGCUUAAAUAUCUACAUAAUAACGUCAGUUAGCAAAGGGUAACUUAAAAAAAGUUAUCCUCAAAAUCUCCUGGGCAAUUUUAUUUCUCAUUUAUGUGAAGUCCAAUACAUUUGAUCCUUGUUGUGUGGCCUUUGUACCCAACUAUUUUCCAAGCUCUGAUUAGGGAGACCCCACCUUGUAUUGUGUCUGCUAUUUCUAGGGCCUUGGAGAGAAGAGAGUGUUUUUAAGACUGCUUUUUUGGUCAGCUCUGGGAGUGGCACACCAUUCUGCAACACACAUUCCAUUAGCCAGAAUUGUGUCUUGUGGUCCCAUUCAGAAGCAAAAUGUCUGUAGAAUGUGUUUAAGUAUGUCCAGCAAGCAGAGAAAAACCAAAUAUUGAUAAAUACAAUCAACUUCUAUCACAGUAAUAAAGCAUUACUUUCUUAUUAACAUUUUAUAAAUGUAAAUUAUUUUAUUUUGAGAUCUGUGUUCAAUGUAAAAUUUUUUGAAGGUAUUAUAUUACUUAAUGAGGAACUUAAAGUAAAAUAAUUUAAGUACGGUAAUGCAGACAGUAAAUUUAGACUUAGUAUUUAAAUUCAGCAAGGCCCAUGCUCAAUUCUAGAUCACUAUGUUUAAGGUCUAAUCGUAAAACAGAGCAGCAAUUGCAAUACAGAGUUAAGUAUUUUGGUUGGCAGCAAUACAUAUACUCUAUAUUUACAUGUAAGUUAUUACAGUUUAAAAGUAUGUGGGAAAAUAGGUUCAAAAUAGAUAAAGAUUUUAUAACGUAAGAGAAUGGAGAACUGAAAUAAUUAUUAAGUUUUCUUAAAGGAAAAAUUGCUCUACAUUACUACCUAAGUUUAUCUUCUGUUUCAUUUUGAUAAAAUUUAUGUUAAACAGUCUAAUAAAAUAUUAAAUCACACGUCUUUUUCUUAAAGUUCCUUAAAAUAAUACUCUCGUCUAUGUUAUCAGUAAACAGUCUUAAUAUUGCUGUUCUCCUGAGAUAAUUUUUCUCUAAUUGCUGCUCAUUAUUUAAGGAAACUUUCAAUAUUAGUAAAACAUUGCUCCAAAUCUUUCAUUUAGAGCUAUUAUUAUACCUGUGCUGUUUUUUCUUCUGCCCACGAAGCCUGUCAAAAUGCAAAUUGCUUUCUCUGACCAAAAGUACAGCAGGAGCACAGCCUGGCUGCUUUUUACACAAAACCACCAACAGAUUUGUUAACAGCUGUUCUUGGGGUCUGUGCACGUAAUGGAAACUUCAGAACCUUGCAGGGUUCAUGGUUUCUUCUGUCUGCAGCACAGGAAUCGUUUAACAGUAGGUGACACUUUUGGCAAUGUAUAAUUAAAGGGCUUGUUUUAGCAAAAUUACACCCUGUGUAACACAUAAUAAAAGAUAAGGGGGAAGGAGAGGUAACAGGCCUGGGUAUACAAUUUAGUUUGUAGCAGAGAAUGAGCACAGUUGGGAGCUUGACUAUUUUUGCUGUGAUUCCUGAGGUCAUAUUAAGCAAAACAAAUCACUAUGUUUCUACUUUAUUCAGGUGACAAGUGGAUCGAUAAGAUAAUUAAUAAUAUCUCUUCUUCCCUAUUUGGCUAAUUGAGACGAGGGAAGAUUAUAAACGGGUCUACAACAUGAAAAACCAGAAGUCAUUUAAUUUGAAUGCCAGCAUCACCUCCCCAAGGUUAUUGAUAUUUGAUUUAAAGGGGAAUAAAAGAUGGACAAUUUAAGUGAAUCUGACUUGUAUUGUUCUGAAUCCAUAUGCAUUGAUUCAGAUUUGUGAGAUGUCUUUUCAACAAGGUAGCUUUGGAUCAGUGGGGCUUGCAUAUUUGAUCAUAUUUCUUUCAGAACCUUUCUUAAAUACUCUUCAUUUGUUACCACCAGGCAAAGGCAAAUCUCUAGUUUAGAAAACUUGAUUUUAAAAUAAAUUAGAAAGUAAAGAGAGAAAAGGCAUGUUCCAUUCCUGACAUUUGUAUAUACUAUUACUCAUUGAAAACAUAACAUGGUAAGUUUGUUUCAUAGUCAUUACCUCUACCAUCAUCUGUUACCCCCUUUGAACUACACCGUUAAUUAUCUUUGCCUACUUCUGAAAUGCAUAUACAUAAAAUCUUAUUGUAUGUAACAUUUGAAUAUAGCGUUUUUGCUUAUCAUUAUGUUACUGAGAUUUAUCAGUGUUGUCACACAUAAUUUCAGUUUAUUUUUAUUGACAUGAAGCAUCCUAUAAUAUGAAUAUGCCACACUAUAUUUAAUAUUGAUGGACAUUUUAGUUAUUAUAAAUCAUGAUGAUAUAGUUUUGCAUGUACUUUGAUGGACACAUGCAAGCAUCUUAUUAGGUAAUACAAUAUAUUAUAGAAUUGCUACUUUAUAAAAUAUAUGUAUGUUUAGCUUCAGUAAAUACUGCCAAAUAAUUGUCUAAAGGGAUUGUUCCAAGUCACAUUCCUGCCAUCAAUAUAUGAGAGUUCCAUAUCCUCACCAACACUUGGAAAUAUUAGUAUUUUAUUAUAUUUUAGUUAUUCCAGUAAGUAUACAGUGGGAUUUCAUUGUUGUAACAUUUGUUUGCCCAAUGAUGAAUGAGGUUAAACAUCUUUUCACAUGUUUAUGCAUUAUUUGGAUGGCUUUUAUUUGAAGCACCUGCCCAAGUCUGUAGCCUAUCUUCUUAUCAGGUUAUUUAUCUUGAUAUUGUUGACCUGAGACAUCUUUUAUAAAUUUUUAAUAUUUGUUAUAUAUACAUAUAUGUGUGUGUGUAUACACAAACAUUUAACUAUAAUCUUUUCUUGAUUUUUUGCCUUUUCUAACCCUUAAUGAUGUCUUUUAAGAUAUAAAAUUUUAAUUAACUUUAAGUUCAAUUUGUCAAAUUAUCCUUUUCUUUUGUUAAUUUUUUGUAUUAUGUUACAAUCAACUGACUAUAUAUGUGUGGGUGUCCCUCUUUAUAUUCUAUUCUAUUGAUGAGUUUAUCUCUAUCUGUACCCAUACCUCACUGUUCAUUCACACUGUAAUUACAUGAAGAUGAAAUACUUAGUGUUCUAAGUUCUCCUGCAUCAUAAUUGUCUUUGUUAUUCUUUUUUUUGCAUUUUCAUGUAAGUUAGACAAUCCAUGUAUUCAUUUUCAUAAAAUAAACUACUGGAAAUUUGUUUUGAAUUGCACUAAAUCUAUGUAUCAGUUUUAAAACAACAUUUUUAAUAUUAACUCUUAAAAUCAUAUAGCUUAUUCCUAAUUAGUUUUUAAUUUCUCCCAAA